UUCAUAGAGAUGUGUUGAAUGGAUGGAUUAUGACAUCGUCCUUUACUUACUGGUCCUAUGGCCACCCUCCUAGUGUCCCCAGAGCUUUAUUUCUAUUUCUUUCUCCAACAAGUCUAAAGGAUGAAAAAAAUCAAACAACUAAAUCACCACCACCACCAUCCCAUUUGCUGUAAUGUGGAACACAGCAUAGUUUGAACAAAAGAACCAAAGAAAAUGAAAGAUACUUAAAAUAAUUGGUGGAAACUUCUGGGCCAGUCUGAUUCCUUCACAAACAAGAAAGAAGAUGGAAUUUGAGGCUUACAGAAACCCUUGGAUGAAUAUUGAGAAUGACUUGAGAAUAAAUUAUUGGCAAAGUAGUCAACGAA